UAUCUCUGUAGAGUCUGCAUAUCAAUAAGCGGAGGAAAAGAAACUAACAAGGAUUCCCUUAGUAACGGUGAGUGAAGCGGGAAGAGCUCAAAUUUGAAAUCUUCAAGGUUCUACCUUGACGAAUUGUAGUUUAUAGAAGUGUUUUCUGUUAGUGGAGUGGCAAAAGUUCUUUGGAAUAGGACAUCAUAGAGGGUGAGAAUCCCGUAUUUGGUCAUUCCUCCUAGCGUUGUGAUACACUUUCAACGAGUCGGAUUGUUUGGGAAUGCAGUCCAAAAUGGGUGGUAAAUUUCAUCUAAAGCUAAAUAUUGGCGAGAGACCGAUAGCGAACAAGUACCGUGAGGGAAAGAUGAAAAGAACUUUGAAAAGAGAGUUAAACAGUACGUGAAAUUGUCAAAAGGGAAGCGUUUGACACCAGUGUUGUUUUUCCGAAAAUCAAUUACGAAUGUUUUAUUUUUGAGGAGUUAUGACUUCAUCGGCUUGCUCCUUUCUUUAUGAAACUUUCUUAAUGCACUUUUCGGUUAACAAGUCAACAUCAAUUUCUUUUGUUGUAAAAGGGUAUGAGGAAGGUGGCUUUCUUUUCGGAGAAAGUGUUUAUAGCCUUGUACCUCUGCAAUCGGAGAGAUUGAGGUCUGCAGCGUAGAUCCUUCGGGGUUAGAUACAUUUGUGCUAAGUUAUAGCUUUUCAUAGACAACUUGUUGACUAUGAUCAGUCAUGUAGCUUACUCGCUUAUGUCAUUUUACCUACGCUUAGGAUGUUGAUGUGAUACUGCGAGCA
rnacentral:rRNA from 1 species